GGGAUGGGCUGCAGGGCUCGGACUGCGGAGCAAAGCAUUUUUGAGCGGGACUAAAGUGAGGAUCACCUCAAGUUUCACCAACCUGCAAUUCCACCACCUCAGUACCACUCACCUCUCAUUAAAUAGGCAUGUGGAUACACCAAUUGUCAUCUGCUCCUGGGACCAGCCAACAACACAAAUUCUGAUGCCAGUACCACCAUAAAAUAUUCCAGGAAAAGAAAUAUCAGGAAAGGAGGGAGAAACAUAACCAAAAGAAAAACAGCACAAGACUUCUAGAAUAACAGGGUGUGGUAUUUCUCACUUUUUUUUUUUUCCCCCGCUCUGUUAAAAGGAGUUUUAAAUGACUCUCCAGACACGUACCCUUCAGGAAAGAACAUGAAAAAGGAGCAUUCACAGGGAUCUUAGAAGUGUGUUAUGCAUAGAAUGAUCCUGUUCAGAUAAAGAAUUGCUGUGAUGGUGUACCGCUAACAAGUGGUUAGAAACUAACAUCUAAAUUCGGGGCUAAUCCACAGUGGUUUUUAGCUACAUCAUUUGUACUUCCUCCGAUGACAUACAUUCCAGCUUCUUCUGUUUUAUGGCAAUAAAAGCAAAUAAAGACAGUCAUGAAGUUCAGCUGCGUGUCACGUACUCUGAACAGCAUGUAAGCAUUAACUUUUCCUGCAAGAUGAGAUCAUGACAGUAUUAAGAACAUGCAACGACCGAUCCUGUGUUUAUGCAUAAGGUGCUUCCCUUUCAGUCAAGUAUGAAAAGAGUACUGUGUUAAUUUCUAAAACCGAACAUUGCCUGUCUAGCAGAUGCCUUUUUCGGUAGCUCUGAUCUGCUACUGAAAAAGGAGGCAUCAGUCCAAAGUAAAGACCAAAGCCUGGGGGGGGGGGAACAUUUUUGAAUAAUACUCAACAAUUUUUCCAGUAGUUCUUCCGACAGAAAGAAAAAGAGGAAGAAAAGCAUUUUCAUCUGAAACCACACAUGGAAAAAUGAUUUGGCUUCCCUCAACGUUAGAGGAAAAAAAAUGCGGAGGAAGUUUUUAUUUAAAAAACAAAACAAAACAAAAACAACCACAAAAAUCUCAACACAGUGCUGGAUGGAGGGAGCUUGGCUGUGGGACCCCCCAUGCAGCAGCUACAGCCCCCAGUCUUGCUCCAUGCAUGCCUCAGUGUUGGCACUGCUGAGCUUGGUGGCUCUGCUCCCAGUUCUGCAGUUCAUAAUGCACGGGCAGCGGUGACCAGGAGGAAGGUGGAGAAAUCACAGAACGGCUUUGUUGGAAGGAAACUUAUGGCCCAUCCAAGUUCCAACCCCCCUGCUAUGUGCAGGGACAUUUCCCACUAGACCAGGUUGCCCAAGGCCUCCAACCUGGCCUUGAACACCUCCAGAGAUGGGACAUCCACAGCUUGUCUGGGCAAACUCAAACAGUUCUCACCUGAUUAAGAACCUAAAAAAGAGGAAGGGAAAACGUCCCCCAUCAGCCUGAGGUGCUAGGGAAGGACAGCCUGCAGCAAUGAAAGCCAUGUCAGCUUUUAUAUAAACCAGGCAUGGGAGACAUUUUCAAGUAGUUUUUCUUUAGAUAAGAGCUUCAAUAGACAUUGGGCAGUGACAAAUGCAAGAAGACACUUUCCAUCCUAAAUGCUCAAAAUGAACAGAAUGAUGAAAAAAAGAAUAAAACAGAAGUCGUGCUGUCUGGCAUCUACUCUAAUUUAUUUCAGAUCUUAAUGCUUCAUGCUGAGCCUCUGGCUGCUCCUCUGAGUGAUUUUAAGUUACGUAAACUUCUUGCUGCCAUUGCAGACAAAAUGGUUCAGAUGGGAUUUGCAUGAGGGGAGACAAAGAUGGCAAUGAACAUGGACAGCCUGGAUAGAAAAAGCUGGUGCAGAAGGAAAAGAAUUGAGGCAGUUGAGAGUGGAAAGAAGAGGAAGGCAAUAGCCAGCUGCAGCCCAUAAAGGGGAACAGUGAAAUUUCAUACUGGAAAACACAGCAUCCCACCAAGUCAUAGCAUGUUCCAGAUUUAUUAGUAGUUAGCAGUGAAUGCUUGAAAAUUAAGUCUAGGAAUAACAGUAAGUGGAUUCAAGACAGUGAUACAGCCAGACAAAAUGAUAAACUCUGAUAUCAUGUGAAAGAUAAGAAAUGGAAGCAAAACCCAUGGUAGUUCCUUCAAAAUGUCACUUGGAGGAAAACAUCUGUACUGCUGCUGGGAUGAAGGAAAACAGCUUCACGUGGACAGCAGUUCAGAAAUGGGACUCUAUGCUUUCUGUCCCUUGGAAUCAGUACUGAGGAAAAGCUUGGAAAUCUUAAACUAGCCUGUUCCUAAGAUCUGACAUUGCAUCUGAUUUCCAUAAAGAACACAUUCAAAGUGGCCCAAAGUUUCUUGAAAUUCUGGUCCCAACUUUUAGCUUAUUGAUGAAAAAAGAUGUUAAUAAUAACAACAAGACUGUAGAUGAGCCCUCAGCUUUAACCAUCAGUGCCAGGAACAAUGGAGCAACAAUUAGAUGCUGGAAGCAAGAUACAAAAGGGAAGAAAGAGAAAUGAAAAUAAAACUUUCCUUGUGGUCAGAACAACCACAGGAUUUCCAGCUGAAUUCCUUUCAGCUAUAGAGACCUUCAUUAGUACAUUAUUUGUACUUGGAUAAAGUACAAUAGAAAUGCAUGUUUUUAAUAAAAUACUAUGGAAUGCAUAUAGGUCAGCCAUGCCAAAUAGCAUGUACCUACCCAAAGGGAGGCAUAAAUAUCACCACCUGGAUUGCAUGAGACUGCCUUCACCCUACAAACGGACGGCCAUGGGAACAUGCUGUACUUCUUGAUUCAGAGAAACAUCCUCUACUUAAGGAUGCUUUAUAAUCAGGCCAACGUUAAUAUAUGCUCAGAGUGCUCAAAGGCACCUUCACAAAUACAGAACAAUCAGUCCAAGCUGAGGGUUGUAAAAAAAAAAAAACAAAAAACACAAAAAACCAAAAACACAAAGGGUUUGAAUAAGAGACACCAUUAAAGAACAACAAAGGCUCUUCUUUUCCCCCUAAAGCAGGAGACUGAUGCCAGUUCAAGAGAAUCUCAUUGAUGAUGUUCUUAUAAGCAAGAUAUUUGGCAAAGCAAGGCUUCCUUUGUCUGCUGCUUGCAUUUGUUUGCUUUUAAGCUCUCUUUCCCAAACAGCAAAAAAUAAAUACAAAAUAAAGUCUGU
ensembl:lncRNA